CGAAUGCUGACAUAAGUAACGAUAAAGCGGGUGAAAAGCCCGCUCGCCGGAAGACCAAGGGUUCCUGUCCAACGUUAAUCGGGGCAGGGUGAGUCGACCCCUAAGGCGAGGCCGAAAGGCGUAGUCGAUGGGAAACAGGUUAAUAUUCCUGUACUUGGUGUUACUGCGAAGGGGGGACGGAGAAGGCUAUGUUGGCCGGGCGACGGUUGUCCCGGUUUAAGCGUGUAGGCUGGUUUUCCAGGCAAAUCCGGAAAAUCAAGGCUGAGGCGUGAUGACGAGGCACUACGGUGCUGAAGCAACAAAUGCCCUGCUUCCAGGAAAAGCCUCUAAGCAUCAGGUAACAUCAAAUCGUACCCCAAACCGACACAGGUGGUCAGGUAGAGAAUACCAAGGCGCUUGAGAGAACUCGGGUGAAGGAACUAGGCAAAAUGGUGCCGUAACUUCGGGAGAAGGCACGCUGAUAUGUAGGUGAAGUCCCUCGCGGAUGGAGCUGAAAUCAGUCGAAGAUACCAGCUGGCUGCAACUGUUUAUUAAAAACACAGCACUGUGCAAACACGAAAGUGGACGUAUACGGUGUGACGCCUGCCCGGUGCCGGAAGGUUAAUUGAUGGGGUUAGCGGUAACGCGAAGCUCUUGAUCGAAGCCCCGGUAAACGGCGGCCGUAACUAUAACGGUCCUAAGGUAGCGAAAUUCCUUGUCGGGUAAGUUCCGACCUGCACGAAUGGCGUAAUGAUGGCCAGGCUGUCUCCACCCGAGACUCAGUGAAAUUGAACUCGCUGUGAAGAUGCAGUGUACCCGCGGCAAGACGGAAAGACCCCGUGAACCUUUACUAUAGCUUGACACUGAACAUUGAGCCUUGAUGUGUAGGAUAGGUGGGAGGCUUUGAAGUGUGGACGCCAGUCUGCAUGGAGCCGACCUUGAAAUACCACCCUUUAAUGUUUGAUGUUCUAACGUUGGCCCCUGAUCGGGGUUGCGGACAGUGUCUGGUGGGUAGUUUGACUGGGGCGGUCUCCUCCUAAAGAGUAACGGAGGAGCACGAAGGUUGGCUAAUCCUGGUCGGACAUCAGGAGGUUAGUGCAAUGGCAUAAGCCAGCUUGACUGCGAGCGUGACGGCGCGAGCAGGUGCGAAAGCAGGUCAUAGUGAUCCGGUGGUUCUGAAUGGAAGGGCCAUCGCUCAACGGAUAAAAGGUACUCCGGGGAUAACAGGCUGAUACCGCCCAAGAGUUCAUAUCGACGGCGGUGUUUGGCACCUCGAUGUCGGCUCAUCACAUCCUGGGGCUGAAGUAGGUCCCAAGGGUAUGGCUGUUCGCCAUUUAAAGUGGUACGCGAGCUGGGUUUAGAACGUCGUGAGACAGUUCGGUCCCUAUCUGCCGUGGGCGCUGGAGAACUGAGGGGGGCUGCUCCUAGUACGAGAGGACCGGAGUGGACGCAUCACUGGUGUUCGGGUUGUCAUGCCAAUGGCACUGCCCGGUAGCUAAAUGCGGAAGAGAUAAGUGCUGAAAGCAUCUAAGCACGAAACUUGCCCCGAGAUGAGUUCUCCCUGACUCCUUGAGAGUCCUGAAGGAACGUUGAAGACGACGACGUUGAUAGGCCGGGUGUGUAAGCGCAGCGAUGCGUUGAGCUAACCGGUACUAAUGAACCGUGAGG
rnacentral:rRNA from 1 species